GAUGAAGAACGUAGCGAAAUGCGAUAAGUAAUGUGAAUUGCAGAAUUCAGUGAAUCAUCGAAUCUUUGAACGCACCUUGCGCCCUUUGGCCAUUCCGAAGGGCAUGCCUGUUUGAGUAUCAUGAACACCUCAACUCCUCAUGGUCUUCUAUGAUGAGCUUGGACUUUGGGGGCUUGCUGGCCCAUUUGGUCAGCUCCUCUCAAAUGAAUCAGCCUACCAGUGUUUGGUGGCACCACAGGUGUGAUAACAAUCUACGCUUGAGGUUUUCCACCAGGCAACCUUCAGUAAUUGGGGUUCACUGGGGCUCACAAAUGUCUUUCUUCAGUGAGGACAGCUCUUUGAAUGUUUGAUCUCAAAUCAGGUAGGACUACCCGCUGAACUUAAGCAUAUUCAAUAAGCGGAGGA
rnacentral:misc_RNA from 1 species